rnacentral:rRNA from 1 species
UACGGAGGAUCCAAGCGUUAUCCGGAAUCACUGGGCGUAAAGGGUGCGUAGGCGGUUUUUUAAGUCAGGGGUGAAAUCCUGGAGCUCAACUCCAGAACUGCCUUUGAUACUGAAGAUCUUGAGUUCGGGAGAGGUGAGUGGAACUGCGAGUGUAGAGGUGAAAUUCGUAGAUAUUCGCAAGAACACCAGUGGCGAAGGCGGCUCACUGGCCCGAUACUGACGCUGAGGCACGAAAGCGUGGGGAGCAAACAGG